rnacentral:misc_RNA from 1 species
GCAGGCUCCCUGCUUCUCGCAGCGAACUGCAUUGGUCCGUCCCUUUCAUUUGAUCGCUCGCCUCGAUUCCCCUAGGGUCGGUCGCGAGUGAUGGGUGGGUUCCUGUGCUUGAUACCGGAUUUCGGUACUCGGAUUCAAUGUUGUCCACGUCUUGGUUUCCCUUGUUCCUCCUCCGCCUCCUGUGCGUUGGUGGUUGUCGCGCGGGCAUCGAUGCUUUCCGUCCGGGCGGUCGUCCACCUCUGGGCGCUUCCGCUCGAGUCGGCGCGUCGAUGCCGUCCGCGUGCUCUUGGGUACGGAGAUAUCUCUUGUUAUCGCGCGGCCCUCUUUCGGCCGUUGCGAUCUCGACGUGUCGAAGCUUCUUUGCUUCCGCUCGGGUGACCCUCGUGCUUUCCUUGGCCCUCACGGAGACUCUCCUCUCCGCGUUCGUCCUCGGGAGGCAUCGAGGUGUACAAUGGAAUGCUACCUGGUUGAUCCUGCCAGUA